GUUCCCGUGGACUCGUUCGACAUCAUCAUCCACUGCUGAAUUCAGUUGAAAUUCUCUAGAAUGCAAGUACAGAGAAUGCACAAAAUUACUCAGUUGUGUUCUUGAUAAGGCCAAACAUCGAGGAUGAAUCAAACGGUGAUUUGUGGGCAAGAACAUUUUUUAAGUCCCAGAAGUCAUAGCGGCACAGCACUGGCAGAUGAAGGACACUUAUCAUUGAGUCUUCCCUUAAGAGAUUACCUCUGUAAGCUUGCAAAAGUCUGAUGGCUCUUGAGAGUCGCCAUUCUCCAUCAACAUUUGGUGUUUUGUUGGACAAUUUUAAUAAAGUAAUGGUAGAUAGAUGAAACGAGUGUUAACAGACUUUAUUCUUUCAAUGUGUCACUAGUCCUGCAAAACCUUUCUGGUGUAAUGAUUAUAAUCCUGUCAGUGGUGUGUGAUAAUGCCAGUAGUUCUCUCACUGGUUACAAAUAUGCUGGUAUGGGCAAUUGCACCACAAAUGCUAAACUGCAAUUUGCCACAAAUUUUUUCGUUCACAAAUAAAUAUUAAAAUAAAAAAAUUCUUAGGCUAUGUCAUAUAAUUUCUCUUUCUCUUUAUUUGUAUGACUAUUUUUCUCAUAGCACGGAAGCCUUUUGCUGCCGAUGUGAAUUCAAAUGUGUGCAGCGUUUCUCUAUAUCUUGAGAUGCACAUAAGCCUGCUGUCCUUCUCCAGGCAACACAUGGCGUUUUUAAUGCGAUUCUGAGGUGAGAAGCUUUUCACUACGAGCAUGCAAGAUUGUUAUAAUACAGGCUACUUUUGGCAGUUUACGGGAUACAAUCAGCUGUAGGUGCAGAUUAGGACUUCGCAAGCAGUCUGUAACUUUUAAACCUUUGUGGCAGCGCAGCGCUGUCAUCAUUAGAAUGGUGUCACGCUGUACACUUGUGGCAUCAACUAAAGGGGUUGCUGAUGCUUUGUGUAAAUAUUUCCACCAGACAUUUGUCAGACAUUGAGAUGUUUUUACAGUCAAAAACAUUACAUCUUGGCUAACAGAAACCUGGAAGCAGAAGCCUAGCGUUCACGUCUGACAAAAGUAUAUUGUGGGCUUUACACUAACCCUUUACCUGGGAGUGGUACUCCCUUUUGGAGUUGGCCCAACCCCCUUCUGGAGUUACCUCAACCUCUUUUGAAGUUUACGCCCCAUUUAGGGUGCUUCCACCUUUCUAUUGGCGUAAUCUAUUUUCAUAUUUCAUACCUUAAAGUAUUUAAAGUUUGACAAAACUGCGGCCGUAUACUGUUGGGAGCAAACAAGGGCAGAUCGUAUAUUAUUGGAAAACCCGCCAUGGCAAUAAUUAAUUUCUCCUCCAUUUUGUCUUCGGAACUAACCCAGCCGGCACACGACCGACCUUCAACGUUGAAAUAUGGUUGAAAUAAUGUCAGUUGUUGUUUCAACGUUGAAACUACGUUGAAAUAAUGUUUAAUGCUAAAUGGUUGAAAAAGGGUAAAAAAAACACUUAUCUAUAUGUUCAAUUAAUGUAUGUACAGAAUAAAUAAUUUCUGCCUUUUACAUUAUUAUUAAGAUCAUUAUUAUUAUUUUAUUAUCAUUUUACAUUUUUAUCAUGAACCUUCUGAUAUAAAUAUUAUAAAACAUUGCGCUGCUUUACCACACUGAAACAAUUCCUAUUGGUUAUUUAACCUUAUUUGCUUUGAUCAUGAUUGGUUAAUCUGUCUGUCAUUCAUGAAACUGGCCAAUGAAACUGUGCGCGCCAUUUUAAGUUUGAAAAUAUGACCGUUAUCCUAACCGUCUUUCAGAUCGCGAGACUGGCCAAGGGAAGAGCAGGAAAGAAAGUGGUCUGCGAGGGCGCGGGAUCAAAAAGCAAGCAUAUUUGACAAGACUUGGAGGAGUUGAUGACAUCGACAUGGUGAAAAAAACAAUGUCUGCAUGCAGUUGUCAAUGCACACAACACAACCAGUACAAAAGUAAUGGAGACCAUGUCCAAAUAUUUAAAAUAUGCACCAGAGAGGAUGGGUGGUGGUGGCCGUAAGAAGACUCUUCUUUGAAGACACCUUUUUUUUUCUUCUUUUUUUUUUAAUGACUGUUGCUAGUAGAAUGUGAAGUUCUACAAAAGACUUCUUACUUGUUCUACAAACUUUCCUUACUUUUACUUGGAUUCUUUUUCACUUAAUUGUUGAGAUUUUAUAAUGUUACGAAAUGAGUACAUAUGUUGGUCACAAGUUUGGAAAUGGUAAGAUUUUAGUGUUUGUCAGUGUUACGGUUUAUGUAUUUUUGGUCAAACAGACUUGAGCAAGUUUCCAAACCAUAUUUGUAAUUAUUUAUAUAUAGGCUAUUGUGUGAAUAUUUGCAGUGUGUAUGAAAUUAGA